GAGAAAACACCUCUGGGGAGCCUGGCCCAUGGGCUGUGCUUACGGAAACACCCCAGGCUGAGCCGCUGCUUCCCAGAAGAUAACACCAAGAGGCAGGAGCAAGCCCUGACCCUCUGCAGAUCUGUGAGUCAGCAGUAAAGCUUUUUACCUGUUGCAGGGCAUGCACAGACCAUCCUGUAUCUCCUCUACCCCUGCGUUGUCCUCUUUGCACAGUGGUACCCAGGUGGUAUCUCCGGUUGCCUCGUACCACAUGGUGCCGAAUGCCUGCGGAGGGAGAAGAAAACUCAUUGCCUUGACGCUGCACACAUCGUGAGCUGCUGGUUUGGUUUGGAUGUCUGUAGUGUGGACCUGCACUUCACGGGGGGGAUUAAACCCUCCCUGUGAGACUCGGGUCUUGGUGUUACUCCAGGAGCUGUGGUACCCCUACGAGGUGGGCUGAUCUCAGUUUGAGUGUUUUCUUGAGCUAUAGAAACAAGUAAGACUGGCCUUCAGCAAUCCAAGGGCCUGGAGAAAGUCCACAGCAAGGAGGACUCCCUCGGCAGGAGACGAUCAGCUUAGGCAGCACUUAAGCAAACUGGACGUGCCAGUGGGCCCUGAGAGGAUGCACCCAUAAGUCCUGAGAGAGCUGGCUGACAGCACUGUGAGACCGCUCUUGAUAAUCUUUGAAAGGUUGUGGCAACUGGAAGAGGUUUCUGAAGACUGGAGGAGAGCUCUUAUCCUCAGAAAGGGGCAAGAAGGAAGACCCAGGGAACUACAGGGCAGUCAGCUGCAUCUCAGUCCCUGGGCAGGUGAUGGAGCAGCUAAUCCUGGGAACCAUUUCCCAGCACACGAAGGACUAGAAGGUGAUCAGGAGUCAGCAUGGAUUUAUGAGAAAUCCUGCUUAACCAACCUGAGAGCCUUCUGCACUGAGGUGACUGGCUUGGUGGACGAGGGGAGAGCAGUGGGUGUUGUCUACCUUGACUUUAGUAAGGUUUUUGAUACCAUCUCCCAUAGCAUCCUCAUAGAGAAGCUGACAAAGUAUGAGCGAGAUAAGUGGAUUUAUCAGUUCCAUGGGUUGAAAACUGGCUGACCAACUGGACCCAGACACGGUCCUGGGCAACCUGCUCUAGGUGACCCAGCGUGAACAGGGGCUUGGACUAGUUCAUCUCCAGAGGUACCUGCCAACCUCAGCUCUUCUGUCGUUCUGGGAUCUGACCACACUAUUUGUUUAGAGGGAAAAAGUGUCACAGUUGUCCUUUGUACAGGGGUUGCUCAGAGCCUACGGGAUGCAUAUCAUGGCUACCUGAGCUGAUUUAAAGUGACGAACGUGGCACAGUCGAGAUUACAGUUGUCUGCCAAGGCUUCAAGCUGUGCCUCUUUGCACGUGAGCAGGCUGGAAGAGCUCGCUGUCCCCUGGUUUCCCAGAGCUGGGUCUCCAGAUGACACCUUCUUCACUGGGACUGAUCAGGUGAACCAGACUCCUUUUUGCUGAUUGCUUUUUUCCUCUCAUUUAAUCCCAGGUGGGGAAUUUCAGGACCCCCCCAUACACAAAGUUCUGCACAGACAUCUCCGCUGACCACCCACAUGAAUAUAGGUGAUGGCCAGGAGCACACUGGCCGCAGCAAAGCCCUCUCCUUGCCCAGACUGCCUCAGCACGCUACUGUCCAGAUCAGUAGUUUUGUGGGCAGGACUCAUGAGUCUUUCCCCCUUGUCCUUUACUGUAGGGGGGGUGGCAGUUUGUCUCCUCCAGCCUGGGGACCGCAGAAGGGGGUGAGCAGCCAUCAGCUGCUUCGUGCAUGUGCUUGCUGCAUCCCUGGCUUGGUCCUGCUGGGGGUAGAGGCGUCACUGACCGCUGUCUGCAACAGGGACGCCGAGGUUGAUCACAAAAUGCAAUUUACUUGUUCAUCCACAUACUUCUGAUUUUUAGCAGAGACUGACGAUUGUCCCUUCAUGACUUUGGGGUUGCAGCAGCGUGGGAGUGAGAAGAGAGAAGGACAUGGGGUUGUGCUUUCAGACAGCCUGUGGCAUGAGUUUCGUGUCUGCUGAUGGUUGCCUGCUCUUCUUUUCUCUCUCCAACCACAAUAAGCUGCACUGGCCUGAAGCGGCAGGUGUGCAAACUCUUCCUCGCAGCCAAUAUUUACAGAAAGCUUGUGGGACAUGGAUGAUCCCAGUCCACAUCUGCCUUGGCGGAGGAAAAAUCUACUUGCAGUGGGACAAGUGUUUCAGAGCCUGCCUGAGCCUCUGGCCACCACUAGAAGCGGGCUGGAGGAUGAGUUCAACCUCUGCUCUGCUCAGGGAGCUGGGGUCCUCUCCCAAGAACAGGAUGGAAGAUGACUGAGCUGUAAGAAAGGGACCACGGAUUUUCUGUCCUCAGGUCUUGAAAAUGAACUGGGACAUCACCUGUAGUUGAUACUGCUGCAAGAAUUGAAAUAGGAAACCUCUCCUAGAAGCAGAGUUUGGCACGGCUUAUUGUCUCUGCUCUG